AACCAGGUUUUCCGAAGGAAAAAACUGGUUAUUAGAUUGGCGAAUGCGGGCGGGCUGGCUGGCUGGCUGGCGGGCUGGCUGGCUGGCUGGCUGGCUGGCGGGCUGGCGGAAUAAGCUUGUCCGGGCCAUAACUAUGUCGUUCAUUGUCAGAUUUUAAAAUCAUUUGGCACAUUUGUUCACCAUCAUUGGACGGUGUGUCGCGCGAAAUAAUUACGUUGAUAUCUCCAAGGUCAAGGUCACACUUUGAGUUCAAAGGUCAAAAAUGGCCAUAAAUGAGCUUGUCCGAGCCAUAACUAUGUCGUUCAUCGUCAGAUUUUAAAAUCAUUUGGCACAUUUGUUCACCAUCAUUGGACGGUGUGUCGCGCGAAAUAAUUACGUCGAUAUCUCCAAGGUCAAGGUCACACUUUGAGUUCAAAGGUCAAAAAUGGCCAUAAAUCAGCUUGUCCUGGCCAUAACUAUGUCAUUCAUUGUGAGAUUUUAAAAUCAUUUGGCACAUUUGUUCACCAUCAUGGGACGGUGUGUCGCACGAAAGAAUCACGUCAAUAUCUCCAAUGUCAAGGUCCCCACAACUUAAAAUAGAUUUUUUUUAAAAACAAACUUACAAAGGGGGUUAAUUUUGUUUGUUCAUUUCAAAAGUUCAGUUUGAGUUUUCUCCCUUUAUCAGAUUUUUUUUUCACAAUGAAAACCUGGUUUUGUGACAAUUUUGUCCCUUGUUUUGUUUUCAAUUGAGUUGCAUUGAUAUUUAAAUUGUAUGUCAGAAAGUGCUAGAAUUUUUUUCCUUUGAUAAUAAAUUAAUAUACUUAAUAUUGA